ensembl:lncRNA
AAAGAUAGUGGUUGGCUGUUUGUAACAAUGCCUUUAGACAGAGAGACAAAACACGAGUAUGUGCUCCAAUCCCAUGCAAUUGGUGAAGGUAUAAAUGAGGAUCCUACUGAAAUCAUCAUCUGCGUGAUUGACCAGAAUGAUAAUAAGCCUGUCUUCACCCAGGAUCUAUUUAGUGGCAGUGUACCAGAAGUAUCAAAAUCGGAUUUGAGUUCAUGACCAUCUCAGCAACUGAUACAGAUGAUCCUAAGACUGAAAACGGAGAGAUCAGAUACUCAAUCAUCAGUCAGGAUCCUGCACUGCCACAGCCAAAUAUGUUUGAGAUCAACC